GUGAGGAAUAUUGCGCAAUGGAGGCAACUCUGACGCAGCCAUGCCGCGUGCAGGAAGAAGGCGCUACGCGUUGUAAACUGCUUUUAACCGGGAAGAAACCCCAGGACGUGUCCUGGGUUGACGGUACCGGAGGAAUAAGCACCGGCUAACUUCGUGCCAGCAGCCGCGGUAAUACGAAGGGUGCAAGCGUUAUCCGGAUUCAUUGGGUUUAAAGGGUGCGUAGGCGGAGCGUUAAGUCAGUGGUGAAAUCCUGCAGCUUAACUGUAGACUUGCCAUUGAUCCUGGCGCUCUUGAGUGCGCUUGAAGUGGGCGGAAUGUGCCGUGUAGCGGUGAAAUGCUUAGAUAUGGCACAGAACACCAAUUGCGAAGGCAGCUCACUAAGGCGAUACUGACGCUGAGGCACGAAAGCGUGGGGAUCGAACAGGAUUAGAAACCCGGGUAGUCC
rnacentral:rRNA from 1 species